rnacentral:lncRNA from 10 species
AGGCAAACAGUGCCCUAAUUUCUAUCACCUGUGAUGCGUUUUGCCUGUUCUUGGACUUCAUCUGUAUGGAGUCAUAGUUUGCACAGAGACUGAAUCCCCAGAGCACGACACAGCCUGGCACAUGGCAGGUUCUGCGGCUCCCUGAGACCAGCAGAUUCCUGGUCUCCGGGUCCCUGGGUCCCGGACGUGUCCAUCAAGGCGUCCAUUAGGGCCAUCACCUAAUGGACAAGCAUCAGGGAGACACUGGCCUGAGCAUAAGUCUCGAGGGUCUGCCCUGUACUAAGCAAGCGCUUAAUCAGAGGAUGUGGCUUCUGCGGGAGAGCUUCAAAGGGUGCCCUACUUGCCCCUCUUGGUAACCAUGACGUCAUGGAAAUGGGAGGGGACCGCCCCAGCCCCCAAACACCUGGAGGGAAGUGGGAGACUUUUUCCACUUCCUGUUCUACUUGUGGCUACUGACUCAAUGUCUGACCUGUUUAUUAAUUGCAAAAUAUAGCUCUAUGUGUGCUACCCAGAGAGGCCUCAGGCCUGUGUGUCUCUGUGUGAAAGGAGGCCUGCACUCCCCACCCCUCGCCGCGUUGCCCAGGUGGCCUUGACACAGACGCAGGGCGCUGGUGGUCCUGCAGCCUUCCGGCAGCCAGAAUGACAGCACUGGGUCUCCAUGUGCUUGCUCCCCCAGACUCAUCCCAGUCAGAAGCUCGUCUUCCCACACAUGGCUCACGGAGGUAGAUGGGUUUUAGAGUAGGACUCAUGGAGAAACUGAGGCGAACCCACAUAAAGUGACUGUUGGCUCUGGACCUCAGUGUGGUCACACAGUGAGGUCAGACUCCCAGGUACCCUGCGUGAUUUACCACAGUCCCUGUCCUCCAGGCUUUGUUGGAUAGAUGUGUGCCUGCCUGGGGGCUGCCCUGAGCAAGGGGCCACCACUCAGGCUUUCCUUGUUCUGAAGUUCUUGACAAGUUACUUUAGCUCUUGGCAAAACUGUGAAGCAUUGACUCACCUGACCACUUCCUCUACUAAUCCCCACUUUCCUUUCUCCUGUACUCCCCACUCCUCACACUCAGCUCCCCCCACCCAGAGCCUAACUGCAGGAGUCAUUCACUUAUUCAUUUAACGGCAUCUGUUGUGUGCCAGGCACUGUUCUAGUUCCUGGGGACACAUUGAUGACAAGGGACAUUCCCAUCCCACAGAGCACACAGG